AUUGAACGCUGGCGGCAGGCCUAACACAUGCAAGUCGAACGAGCGGCGGACGGGUGAGUAAUGUCUGGGAAACUGCCCGAUGGAGGGGGAUAACUACUGGAAACGGUAGCUAAUACCGCAUACUAUCAGAUGUGCCCAUAUGGGAUUAGCUGGUUGGUGGGGUAACGGCUCACCUAGGCGACGAUCCCUAGCUGGUCUGAGAGGAUGACCAGCCACACUGGAACUGAGACACGGCCCAGACUCCUACGGGAGGCAGCAGUGGGGAAUAUUGCACAAUGGGCGCAAGCCUGAUGCAGCCAUGCCGCGUGUAUGAAGAAGGCCUUAGGGUUGUAAAGUACUUUCAGCGGGGAGGCGUUACCCGCAGAAGAAGCACCGGCUAACUCCGUGCCAGCAGCCGCGGUAAUAC
rnacentral:rRNA from 1 species